AUUGAACGCUGGCGGCAGGCCUAACACAUGCAAGUCGAGCGGAUGAAGGGAGCUUGCUCCUGGAUUCAGCGGCGGACGGGUGAGUAAUGCCUAGGAAUCUGCCUGGUAGUGGGGGAUAACGUCCGGAAACGGGCGCUAAUACCGCAUACGUCCUGAGGGAGAAAGUGGGGGAUCUUCGGACCUCACGCUCUCAGAUGAGCCUAGGUCGGAUUAGCUAGUUGGUGGGGUAAAGGCCUACCAAGGCGACGAUCCGUAACUGGUCUGAGAGGAUGAUCAGUCACACUGGAACGGAGACACGGUCCUGACUCCUACGGGAGGGAGCAGUGGGGAAUAUUGGACAAUGGGCGAAAGCCUGAUCCAGCCAUGCCGCGUGUGUGAAAAAGGUCUUCGGAUUGUAAAGCACUUUAAGUUGGGAGGAAGGGCAGUAAGUUAAUACCUUGCUGUUUUGACGUUACCAACAGAAUAAGCACCGGCUAACUUCGUG
rnacentral:rRNA from 1 species